CAAACCAGCUCAGCUGGCAAGCUGGGACCAUCUGGCCUAUUGGAGACAAGGAACAACGGGGGACCGACCGGGGCGCCCUCUCCUGCCCUCCCCCCAGGAUUCCCUCAGCUGCUUAGAGAAUGGAGAGGAGGGUGAGGCUGGCUCCCCCACCACAGCCGUGACUCAGCGCCUGAGGCCCCACCCAGGGGAGGGGGCACCAAGAACAAGGGGCAGGCGGUGCCCCAAGCCUGUCCAGGAGAGUCUGGACACCCCCAGACAGUACCCCAGGGCUGUGGGAUUCUCCCAGGCUAAGAGUAUGCAGGAAGGGUCCCCCUUCCCAGGGCUGGGACCACCUGGCCCUAUGUCACUGAUUAUACUCUCCCUCACAGCCCCACUUUGGCCCACCCCAGGCCAGCCUCCGGGAAGUCCAGGUUACAUCCUCAGCAGCACCUGAGGGUGAGCGGACAGAAGGACCCCAGGAUGGCCUCAAAUCCAUUAACUCUCAGCUCAAAAACCCAUCCAGGGCAGUUUCUGUAGCCCAAGGUCUGGGGGAAUCUCCUCAGUCCCCACCCCAGGCCUGGCUGGGCACUUUCCCUGGCAGGUCCUCCCUGCCAUAGGAAGCACAGCAAAGCCCAGGCAGUUGCCCCCCACUGCGGUGCCACAGGUGGAGCAGGCUGGUGUGGGUGGGAAGGCUGGGGUGAAUGGGGUGCUGGGGCCCCAAUCUGACCAGGCAAAAUAGGCCUGGACACCUCCAGUGGGGGAGAGCAUGAGAUUCUGAGCCAGGGGCCGUGACGGGGCUGACCAAGACCCCAGCUGAGGCCCUGGCUCCACCUCCCCACCCCAGCCUGGUCACAGAAGGCAGUGCAGUGGUGGAGACCCAGGAUCGUGGGUGCCUGAGCCACUCACAUCUCUCUGCCAAUCAGCAACCAGGAGAUGGGGGAGCACAGAGGCUUGCCCAGCCCCACUGACCAGGCCAUCCUCUGGACCAACUCCUGGUGCCUUGUCCACAGCCUCCCCAGGCCCUAACUCACACCCCUGUGAGGUGGUCAUGCAAGGGCCCUGGGGUAAGAGAGCCGAUGCUGAGGCCCUCUCAGAGACCAGACACGCACAUGCACAUACCCGAGCACACACGUGCAAGAGGCACAGUAGCCAUGCUCAUGUUCUGUCAAGUGUGCAUGCAAGCAUGCAUCAGCACAGGGCGCUCACAGAUCUGUGUGUGUUCGUGGGCUCCAGUGCUGGC